AUGGCCGUCACCCUAUGGUCAAUUUGGUACACAAGACGCAAGGCAGUGUACGAGUCGUUAUUUCAGAGCCCUCAGCAAACUAUCUGCUUUGUGCACAACUUUAUUUCAGAACUGGGCCAGCUUGACAAUGGUCAGGGACGUAGGGAGGCAAGAGCACUCCCACGGGCUCAGCCUAAACGAUGGCUACCCCCACCCGAUGGUUUUGUGAAGAUUAAUGUCGAUGCUGCUAUUGUAAGAUCACAAUGUGGUGGAGCUGUCGCAGCAUUCUGCAGAGAUCAAACGUGCCAAUACUUGGGAUCUUCGGUUGUGGUCUUUCGAGGCAUCAAUGACCCUCUAAUUCUGGAGACUUUUGCAUGUCGUGAAGCGUUAUCACUAGCAGAUGAUCUGGCCGUCCAAAAUAUUUGUGUGCCAUUGGAUUGCCAAGAAGUGGUGAAUGAUAUUACCAAGGAGACAAGAGGCCCAAACGCGGGCAUGGAACUUUAA
rnacentral:rRNA from 1 species